AGUGAACGCUGGCGGUAGGCCUAACACAUGCAAGUCGAACGGCAGCACAGUAAGAGCUUGCUCUUACGGGUGGCGAGUGGCGGACGGGUGAGGAAUACAUCGGAAUCUACUUUUUCGUGGGGGAUAACGUAGGGACACUUACGCUAAUACCGCAUACGACCUACGGGUGAAAGCAGGGGAUCUUCGGACCUUGCGCGAUUGAAUGAGCCGAUGUCGGAUUAGCUAGUUGGCGGGGUAAAGGCCCACCAAGGCGGCGAUCCGUAGCUGGUCUGAGAGGAUGAUCAGCCACACUGGAACUGAGACACGGUCCAGACUCCUACGGGAGGCAGCAGUGGGGAAUAUUGGACAAUGGGCGCAAGCCUGAUCCAGCCAUACCGCGUGAGUGAAGAAGGCCUUCGGGUUGUAAAGCCCUUUUGUUGGGAAAGAAAAGCAGCAGGUUAAUACCCCGCUGUUCUGACGGUACCCAAAGAAUAAGCACCGGCUAACUUCGUG
rnacentral:rRNA from 1 species